rnacentral:lncRNA from 1 species
GGUUUGCUGCUAAUUGGUUGGGCUGGAGAUGAAAUCAUAGGCGUUAAAGCUGUACUCCUGCAGGCUGGAUAGCUUUAUUUCAUGGCAAUAUUGUUAUUUUCAUGAGUUCAAUAAGAAUCUGUUUUUCUUUGUAGCAGGACACAAUUGGAGACACUGCCUAUUCAAGGCUUUCACUGGAAUGGCAUAUUUUCAGAUACAACAAGGAGUCUCAGCUCCUCAGGAAACUGAGGCCAGAGGAUCACUUGAGGCCAAGAGUUCGAUGCUUCAUCCAUGUCCCUGCAAAGGACAUGAACUCAUCCUUUUUUAUGAAUUUUUGCCAUGUUUUGAACGUGGCAACUUCCCCAAUAUUUUUGCCACUUUCAAUUUCUCCAGCUUUUCUCUGUCCCUGUGCAAUCUUUAAAAUAGAGUCCACUAGCUCUUUGUAAAAAAAUAAAAUAAAAAAAUAAACAGAAAGCUAAUGUUCUAGUCCCCUGUCUCCCACCUGCUAAGGAUAGACACGAUAAUAAAUUGUAAACCACGAUAUGAAGAUAAGUGCAUUCAUUCAUUCAACAAAAAUGUAUUUCUUAAUGCAUUUUUAGUAAAUAAAGAUCAACUCAACAAAAAUUUUACCCUCCAAGAGUACACAGGCUAGAAAAGAAUACUGGAUUAAAUUAUAAUGUGAAAAAUUCCUGAGUAGUCAUCUAUGUACUGUGGAGUCAGGAAUGUACCCUAAACCUCAAAUGUGCACAAUUAAAACGCCUAUCCUCUAAAAACAAUUUUUUAAUCCUGAUCUUCUUUCCCUAGUUCCUUCACCGUGGGGAGCAGAUAACUCAGGACAAAAUCCUUUUCUCUCGGUCUUACUGAGCCAUUUAGGAGAAAUCAGGGCUGAGAGAAAAAGAAAUUUUCCACUGAGCUUCCUCAGAGAUUCCCAUCAGAGCCUGAGGAUGGAAAACAGAGAAGGGUCCCAUUACAUCUAGCCCUCCCGAGGGAAAGCUGCUGUUUGCAUUUCCUGCCUACAGCUCUCGGGACUGCAAAUAAAUCAGUGGUUUAUUCAAACCAGUAGCUGGAGAGUAGAUUAUGGCUGGCGGCCCUGAGUGCAGCUGAGACCAUGAGUGAUGGAAAUGCUUGGCAGGGAGGGAGUGGCAAUGUGACCUGCGGAAAACACCAAGACCCCAUAGGCCCGUUCUUCCCUCAUCUCACUGCUCAGUGGAAUAGCACCUGACACUCACACUCUACUCAUAAGAGUUAACUAAGAUUUGUUAAGAUUUAUGUGAGAUUUAUCUUAACAUAAUAAAAAUUAAAUAUCUCCAAAUACUACAAGAAAUGGUCUUAACCUCUUUGUUAUCUAAUCAAAUUGUUAAGUGAUUCAAACACCUUUGCCUAAUAUUUUAUCUUUCAUGAGUUAUUUCACUAAGUUUUGUGUCUAUAUUCUAAUUUACGUUUUUGGCACUGAUGGCAUUAAUUGUACCCAAUGGCAGAAUUUUUUUUUGAAGGCUAAAUAACUAAAAAACAUGCCUAGUAAGUCCUGAUCUGAAUAAGUUAAUAAUAUUUUAAAAAGUCAAACCUGUGGCCUGAGUCUCCAUUGCCUCUGAUCCCCUUAAGGGUGGGGCACUGUUGGCCACUCUCUCUGUUUUAAAGAUCUUCACCCUUGACUUCCAUAUCUAUUCAGCUGCCUGAGUUUUCUUCUAUUUCCUUAUCCACCAAGUACCCUUCAAACAUACAACUACUCACAAUUUGUACCCUUUAUCUAUUGCCACCACUAAGGUGACCAACCACUCAGAUUUUAUAAACUGAAAGUUCCACAACCCAGAAAACCUCUCUGUCCUGGAUAACCUGGGACAGUUGGUCACCCUAAGCUCCACCCAAAUGACUGAGGCUAAAUUCAGGUAACAAGUAUUACCUUUCAACUCAGCUAUGAUAUUCACACCAAUUCCAUAACUUUGUGAACAAGAAACCUAUACACAUUCACUUGAACCGCACAUACACACACACACACUCUUAUACUCUUUCACACACACCUCAUGCACACACUCACAUAUACUCCCAUUCACACACACCACAUACAUUCUCACACACCACAUACAUUCACACACACACCCCACACACUCACAUUCACACACACCAACACACACAUUCACACACACCAACACACUCACAUUCACACACACACCAACACACACAUUCACACACAUCACACACUCACAUUCACACACACCAACACACACAUUCACACACACCACACUCACAUUCACACACAACACACACAUUCACACCCACCAACACACACAUUCAUUCACACACACCAACACACACUCACAUUCACACACACCAACACACACAUUCACAUACACACACCAACACACACUCACAUUCACACACACACCAACACACAUUCACAUACACACACCAACACACUCACAUUCACACACACCAUACACACGCACCAACACACAUUCACACACACCACCACACACAUUCACACACACACCAACAUACACUCACAUUCACACACACCAACACACACAUUCAUACACACCACACUCACAUUCACACACACCACCCCACACUCACAUUCACACAAACACCACCACACACCAUCUCACACGCACACCACCACACACAUUCACACACACCACACAUUGACAAACACAACACAUAUUCACACACACACCACCACACACAUUCACAUUCACACACACACACCAACACACACUCACAUUCACACACACCACACACAUUCACACACCACACAUUCACACACCACACAUUCACACACACCAACACACUCACACACACACCACACACAUUCACACACACACACACACCACCACACACAUUCACACACACACCCCACCUGCUUAAAAUCCUCCAAAGGCUUCUCAUUAUGCAAAAACCUUCUGACUGGCCUGCAAAGCCCUUCACACUGCAUCUCAGGACUACCUUUUCUGGCAGCUCUUGAUGCUUCAUUCUAUUCACUUCACUACGUACAAUCACUGAAAGGGCCUGAUGGUUAGGUUCUACUUACAAUUUUAAUUUUGGAAAAUUUAAAACAUAUACAAAAGCAGGUAAUGGUACAUCCCCUAUGUAACCACUACUCAACCAUUAACAUAGUGCCAGUACACACUGUUGAAGGCUUUUGAUGAGGUUUAUUAUAUAAUUCAAAUAUUUCUAGUACCUUUAGCCUAAAAGAUUUUGUGGGUUCUUUUCAUUCCAGUUAAAUUUUUAGUACCUAUUAAAAUUAAUUGGGUUUCAAGAUUCAUCUUUGAAAUCCACACUAUCUGAAAUAUACCAAAAUAUACAUCAUUCUUCUGGUAUGUGUUUCCUCUAAUUCAACUUUUUUCCCUUCUAUUUUUAAUUGACAUGUAAUAAUAGAACAUAUCUAAGAGUGGUAUUUCUAUACAUGUAUACAAUGUGUAAUUAUCAAAUUAGGGUAAUUAGCAUAUCCAUCAACUCAAAAGUGUAUCAUUUCUUUAUGUUGGAAACAUUAAAAGGCUCUCUUCUAGCUUUCGAAAAUAUGCAGUUACUGUUAACUAUAUUCACCCAAUGCUAUAAAGCACUAGAACUUAUUCCUAUCUAGCUGUGAUUCAUCUGUUAGCCAACCUCUCCUAAUCCUCUCCCCUAACCCUUCCUAGCCUCUAAUAAACACAAUUCUACUCUACUUUUAUUAACUCAACAUUUUUAGCUCCUACAUAUGAGUGAAAAUAUGCAGUAUUUCUUUUCAUUCCUGACUUAUUUCACUUAACAUAAUGAUCUCCAAGCUCAUUCGUAUUGCUCCAAAUGACAGGAUUUCAUUCUUUUUUGUGGAUUCAUAGUAUUCCAUUGUGUAUAUAUACCAAAUUUUGUUUAUCCACUUACCUGUCGAUGAACAUUUAGGUUGAUUCCAUAUCUUGACUAUUGUGAAUAGUGCCGCAAUAAACAAUGAGGAUGCAGAUAUGUCUUCAAUAUAUUACUUUUCCUUGGAUAAAUACUCAGUAGUGGGAUUGCUGCAUCAUAUAAUAGCUUUAUUUUUGGCUUUUUGAGAAACCUCCAUACUGUUUUCCAUAAUGGCUGUACUAAUUCAAAUUCCCACAGUGUAUUAGAGCUCCUGCUUCUCCAUGUUCUCACAAGCAUUUAUUACUUUUUGUCUUUUUGAAAAUAGCUUGUUCUAAUUGGGAUGAGAUGAUAUCUCAUUGUGGUUUUAAUUGGCACUACCCUGAUGAUUAGUGAUGUUGAGCAUUUCUUCAUAUACUUGCUGGUCAUUUGUAUGUCUUUUCUGAGAACUGUCUAUUCAGAUUCUUUGCCCACUUUUUGAUGAGAUUGUUAAGGUCUUUUGCUAUUGAGUUGUUUGGGUUCCUUGUAGACUCUGGAUAUUAGUACACUACCAAAUGUAUAGCUUGCAGAUAUCUUCUCUCAUUCUAUAGGUUGUCUGCUCUCUUGAUUGCUUCCUUUAUCAUGUAGAAGCUUUUUAGUUUAGUAUGGUCCUAUUUGUCUAUUUUUGGUUUUGUUGUCUGUAUUUUAGAGCCGCAGGCAUAAAAUUUUUGCCUAGACCAAUGUCCUGGAGUGUUUCCCCUAUGUUUUUCUCUAGUAGUUUUAUAAUUCCAGGUCUUACAUUUAAGUCUUUAAUCCAUUUGGAGUUGAUUUUUGUAUAUGGAGAGAGAUAGGGGUCUAAUUUCAUUCCUUUUCAUAUGAAUGUCCAGUUUUCCCAGCAUCAUUUAUCAAACAGGGUGUUAUUUCCCCAGUGUUUGUGCUUGACACCUUUGCCAAAAAUCAGUUGACUCUAAAUAUUUAACACAUGGAUUUGUUUCUGGGUUCUUUAUUCUGUUCCAUUGGUCUCUGUGUUCGUUUUUAUACCAAUACCAUGCUGAUUUGAUUAUUAUAACUUUGUAGAAUAAUUUAAAGUCAGAUAGUGUGAUGCUUUCAGUUAUGUUCUUUUUGCUCAGGAUUGCUUUGGUUAUUCAGGGUCUUUUGUGGUUCCAUACAAAUUUUAGCAUUCCUUUUUCUAUUUCUGUGAGGAUUGUCAUUGGUAUUUUAGUAGGGAUUAAAAUGAACCUGUAGA